UUAAGCGACUAAGCGUACACGGUGGAUGCCCUGGCAGUCAGAGGCGAUGAAGGACGUGCUAAUCUGCGAAAAGCGUCGGUAAGGUGAUAUGAACCGUUAUAACCGGCGAUGUCCGAAUGGGGAAACCCAGUGCAAUUCGUUGCACUAUCGUUAACUGAAUACAUAGGUUAACGAGGCGAACCGGGGGAACUGAAACAUCUAAGUACCCCGAGGAAAAGAAAUCAACCGAGAUUCCCCCAGUAGCGGCGAGCGAACGGGGAGCAGCCCAGAGUCUGAAUCAGCUUGUGUGUUAGUGGAACGGUCUGGAAAGUCCGACGGUACAGGGUGAUAGUCCCGUACACCAAAAUGCACAGGUUGUGAACUCGAAGAGUAGGGCGGGACACGUGGUAUCCUGUCUGAAUAUGGGGGGACCAUCCUCCAAGGCUAAAUACUCCUGACUGACCGAUAGUGAACCAGUACCGUGAGGGAAAGGCGAAAAGAACCCCGGCGAGGGGAGUGAAAAAGAACCUGAAACCGUGUACGUACAAGCAGUGGGAGCACCUUCGGGUGUGACUGCGUACCUUUUGUAUAAUGGGUCAGCGACUUAUAUUCUGUAGCAAGGUUAACCGUAUAGGGGAGCCGCAGGGAAACCGAGUCUUAACUGGGCGUUAAGUUGCAGGGUAUAGACCCGAAACCCGGUGAUCUAGCCAUGGGCAGGUUGAAGGUUGGGUAACACUAACUGGAGGACCGAACCGACUAAUGUUGAAAAAUUAGCGGAUGACUUGUGGCUGGGGGUGAAAGGCCAAUCAAACCGGGAGAUAGCUGGUUCUCCCCGAAAGCUAUUUAGGUAGCGCCUCGUGAACUCAUCUUCGGGGGUAGAGCACUGUUUCGGCUAGGGGGUCAUCCCGACUUACCAACCCGAUGCAAACUACGAAUACCGAAGAAUGUUAUCACGGGAGACACACGGCGGGUGCUAACGUCCGUCGUGAAGAGGGAAACAACCCAGACCGCCAGCUAAGGUCCCAAAGUCAUGGUUAAGUGGGAAACGAUGUGGGAAGGCACAGACAGCCAGGAUGUUGGCUUAGAAGCAGCCAUCAUUUAAAGAAAGCGUAAUAGCUCACUGGUCGAGUCGGCCUGCGCGGAAGAUGUAACGGGGCUAAACCAUGCACCGAAGCUGCGGCAGCGACACUAUGUGUUGUUGGGUAGGGGAGCGUUCUGUAAGCCUGCGAAGGUGACCUGUGAGGGUUGCUGGAGGUAUCAGAAGUGCGAAUGCUGACAUAAGUAACGAUAAAGCGGGUGAAAAGCCCGCUCGCCGGAAGACCAAGGGUUCCUGUCCAACGUUAAUCGGGGCAGGGUGAGUCGACCCCUAAGGCGAGGCCGAAAGGCGUAGUCGAUGGGAAACAGGUUAAUAUUCCUGUACUUGGUGUUACUGCGAAGGGGGGACGGAGAAGGCUAUGUUAGCCGGGCGACGGUUGUCCCGGUUUAAGCAUGUAGGCUGGUUGUCCAGGCAAAUCCGGAUAAUCAAGGCUGAGGUGUGAUGACGAGGCACUACGGUGCUGAAGUAACAAAUGCCCUGCUUCCAGGAAAAGCCUCUAAGCAUCAGGUAACAUCAAAUCGUACCCCAAACCGACACAGGUGGUCAGGUAGAGAAUACCAAGGCGCUUGAGAGAACUCGGGUGAAGGAACUAGGCAAAAUGGUGCCGUAACUUCGGGAGAAGGCACGCUGGUGUGUAGGUGAAGUCCCUGCGGAUGGAGCUGAGACCAGUCGAAGAUACCAGCUGGCUGCAACUGUUUAUUAAAAACACAGCACUGUGCAAACACGAAAGUGGACGUAUACGGUGUGACGCCUGCCCGGUGCCGGAAGGUUAAUUGAUGGGGUUAUCCGUAAGGAGAAGCUCUUGAUCGAAGCCCCGGUAAACGGCGGCCGUAACUAUAACGGUCCUAAGGUAGCGAAAUUCCUUGUCGGGUAAGUUCCGACCUGCACGAAUGGCGUAAUGAUGGCCAGGCUGUCUCCACCCGAGACUCAGUGAAAUUGAACUCGCUGUGAAGAUGCAGUGUACCCGCGGCAAGACGGAAAGACCCCGUGAACCUUUACUAUAGCUUGACACUGAACAUUGAGCCUUGAUGUGUAGGAUAGGUGGGAGGCUUUGAAGCGUGGACGCCAGUCUGCGUGGAGCCAACCUUGAAAUACCACCCUUUAAUGUUUGAUGUUCUAACGUUGGCCCCUGACCGGGGUUGCGGACAGUGUCUGGUGGGUAGUUUGACUGGGGCGGUCUCCUCCCAAAGCGUAACGGAGGAGCACGAAGGUUAGCUAAUCCUGGUCGGACAUCAGGAGGUUAGUGCAAUGGCAUAAGCUAGCUUGACUGCGAGCGUGACGGCGCGAGCAGGUGCGAAAGCAGGUCAUAGUGAUCCGGUGGUUCUGAAUGGAAGGGCCAUCGCUCAACGGAUAAAAGGUACUCCGGGGAUAACAGGCUGAUACCGCCCAAGAGUUCAUAUCGACGGCGGUGUUUGGCACCUCGAUGUCGGCUCAUCACAUCCUGGGGCUGAAGUAGGUCCCAAGGGUAUGGCUGUUCGCCAUUUAAAGUGGUACGCGAGCUGGGUUUAGAACGUCGUGAGACAGUUCGGUCCCUAUCUGCCGUGGGCGCUGGAGAAUUGAGGGGGGCUGCUCCUAGUACGAGAGGACCGGAGUGGACGCAUCACUGGUGUUCGGGUUGUCAUGCCAAUGGCACUGCCCGGUAGCUAAAUGCGGAAGAGAUAAGUGCUGAAAGCAUCUAAGCACGAAACUUGCCCCGAGAUGAGUUCUCCCUGAGACUUUAAGUCUCCUGAAGGAACGUUGAAGACGACGACGUUGAUAGGCCGGGUGUGUAAGCGCAGCGAUGCGUUGAGCUAACCGGUACUAAUGAACCGUGAGGCUUAACCUU
rnacentral:rRNA from 2 species